UCAACAAUAUAUAACAUUUUCUCAAAAACCCGCAACGACCACCUUCCGUGUGAUAUUCCUAAAUACACUUGACCUGACUCACUGUCACAAGUUCCUCAUACUUAUUUACCUUUACUACUUUCAAAUAAUGACUCACUUCUGAUUUGCUAAUCACUCGUAAAGAUUUACUUUACCAAUUCAGCUAGAACAUAACAGAUUUUUCUAUCUUCGGUAAAUGCACCUAACCAAUAGCAGAAGAUCCUAUUUUGCAUUUCCACCAAUUAGUCAAGUCACACUUCCGUCGUGUAAAUAUUUUGUUAAUUGCAAUAGUUUAAGAGAGCAUAUCUCCAAUUCACAUUCAGAUGCUAAUGCGCAGGAGGGCAAUUCUCUAAGGCUAAUUUACAUUUUAUCACGAGUAAGUUUUAACCUAUAAAAGCCAAAUGCAUUACAAAAUUAUUAGACAAAGCUCAACUUAACUCUUUGUGAAGAAGUUGUAUUCGGAGUAGGAGUUCUUUAUACCUCACAAAUAAUAACAAAUUCGUGCCAAAAUGUUGUUUAAAGUUGCUUUUAAGCUGAUUUGGUUGUUUUGUUUUUUGAUAUUGGUUAAUGGAUAUCCAUAUCCGCUAAGUGAAUUUGAAACCGAUUCAUCAAAUGGAGGAGAAAGUCUCAGAGUUCAACUACUGACACGCCCUCUGGAGGAAAACUCAGAUUUUGUACUAACGACUGCACUGUUGGGAAACAAGGUGUCUUCAGAUGAUCUCGGAUAUGAUGAAAACCCUAACGACUUGGAGUUGGCAGAAGUCAAUGUGUUUAGACCAGUUUUUCGAUAUCGUGUAUCAGUGUCGAAAAAAGUUAAAGGUCCGCAAUUUUAGUGAAGCAAACAAGUAUUUUUAGUGUAAUUUGUAAAAAAAAAAAAAAAACAAAAA